UUUCCUGCGGCGCAAUGGGUCAGUGCUUCUGGCUGUUGACCAGAAGGUUGGUGGUUUGAGCCCAAACUGGGAAAG